GCCCUCUCAGGAUCACAUGUGGAGAGUUUCCAUUACACUACCAGUCUAGACUACGGGUGGGAGAGUCAAGCAGAGGCAUACCCAUUCCACUCCUAGCUUGGGCAGUGGCUAGCGAGUGGAAGACAAUCUGCUACAAGU